rnacentral:rRNA from 1 species
UACGAAGGGGCUAGCGUUGUUCGGAAUUACUGGGCGUAAAGCGCACGUAGGCGGAUUGUUAAGUGAGGGGUGAAAUCCCAGGGCUCAACCCUGGAACUGCCUUUCAUACUGGCAAUCUCGAGUCCGGGAGAGGUGAGUGGAACUCCGAGUGUAGAGGUGAAAAUUCGUAGAUAUUCGGAAGAACACCAGUGGCGAAGGCGGCUCACUGGCCCGGUACUGACGCUGAGGUGCGAAAGCGUGGGGAGCAAACAGGG